rnacentral:lncRNA from 1 species
AUUGUAGAUCUAUUUCAACUUUGAAUGAAAACUGUUAGGUUUAGCAGCAUCACAUGACCAAACUGACAGCCUUUGUUCUUACCUGCAGGAUUUUUCGAGCUAGAUGGAGAAGGCAAAAUGUGUGUUUGAGAAGCUCAAAGGUAUAGUUUUCUAUCUUUGGCUGUGUUGGCAAGGCCGUGCACUACUGUGCCAUAUGUCCUGUUCGUAGGAAGCACCAACUGUAAGUUCUGCAUGGCCAUUGUUUGCGAUAUCACUUGCUUCGAAUGAACGUCUAAUUUGUUUUGGCCAGAACAAAAUCAAUCGAUAAUGAUUGGUUCCUUUUUAUUCUUAUAUUGCUUUUGGUUCAUUCCAAAAUUUUAAUGAAAGCACUAUAUUCCUAGAACAAUAUGCCUAUUAUUUUGCCUGUAUAAAAUUAAAAUAAGGUAAACUGCUCAAUUAGCUUUCGUUAUCAGCUUUUCUUUUCUACUGCCUGAUACAUAUGUUUGAUUCUGUAAUACACACCAUAAAGGUUACCUACAUGUGAGCUGCUACUCUACAAGUAGUAUAACACAUUUGGUUGUCAGUGGUUAGUAUUUGUUCACUUGUGCAAUUAGAAUAUCAGAUCGGCUUUAUGUGAGUGCUGUUCUACAAGUAGUCUAACUUUUUAUUUUAAUUUCAGGAAAAUCCAAGUAACUUGAUUAUGCCGUCUACAUGUGCUGGUUGAAGAGACAGAACAAUCCUGCUAGUGUUUUAUAGGAAUAGUUGUUAAUAAAAUAUCACAAUGUAUUUGGUAUUAUUGAAAUUUUUGUUGUUAUUGAAAUACGAUGGCAUAUGCUAAUUAUGUAUUUGACUAUUCAUCUGGACUUGUGUACUGGUUAUGGUAUUACAAUGCAUAUGUUGCUGGAUAAUAUAUGUUGUAAUAAAUUUAUUAAUAAUUGAAUUUACGUUGUAUGUGCUGUAAUAAUCAG